rnacentral:lncRNA from 1 species
GUUAGGAUCUGUGAGCAUUGAAAUAUCCGCCAGUCAAACGAUCAAACAUGCAUGUUCAUCGUCGCAAAAUAAUGAAACCUUUUGGGGAGGUUGAAAGUGGAACGCCGUACGGUGAGGCUGCUCCGGCGGAGAAGAAGGAAGUGAUUCCGGCGUGAGAGUGUUUGAUCGGACAUGGUGGAAGCCAAGCGUCAGGAAUAUUAGAAAGAGAGUGAGAGUGGCAGUUGGCAUCAUCAGUGGUAAACUCAAGUGUUGCAAGUUUAAGAUUAUGAUCAAGUUAAUAUAUAACCCUCUU